ACGAUCGGCUCCGUUAGACUUGAUCUAGCGUAUUUGAAGUUUUUAGAAAAUAAUUUUUGCGAUUUUUUGACUCCGUUAGACUUGAUCUAGCGUAUUUGAAGUUUUUAGAAAAUUAUUUUUGCGAUUUUUUUGAUAUCAUUUACCUAGUGAUAGAAAUGAUUCAAAAUCAAUAAUUUUUAAUGGUUGAUAUCUGCCAUUUUAAAGUUUAACGGUGUAAAAGUAUUCAAAUCAGAUGAAAUUUUGAUACAAAAUUCUUUAUACUAUCUACAACAAGAUCAAUAUUUCUGAUCGAAAAUUUUAGUGCUAUAUCACCACUUUUUAUAGGAUUUUUAUUUUCAGCCGUUAAAAAUUAUUGAUUUUGAAUCCUUUCGAUUGCUAGGUAAAUGAUAUCGAAAAAUUGCAAAAAUUAUUAUCUAGAAACUUCAAAUAUGCUAUGUCAAGUUUAACGGAGCCGAUCAUCAAUUCUGAAACUCCAUCAUCGAAAACGGCUCAGGAGCACGGAGGCCUCCGUUCUCUUGAGAGCACAGCAGUCAUGCUAUAUAUAUAUAUAUAUAUAUAUAUAUAUAUAUAUAUAGGUUCCGGCUACUAUCCUAUCAAUAGGAUUGGGACCAUUGUCCUAUCAAGUCGAUUUGAAUGAUCGGAACUUCAAAUUGAUAAUCGGCACUGUUGAAGUUGAUCUACACAAUUAGAAAUGUUUAGAAACCAAAUUUUGUAUUAUUUAAAAAUUAUUAUCAAGUUCAUCUUAAGAGUUGAAAAAUGAACGGAUAUAAAUGAAUAACCUUCUUAAAAUAGAGAUUAGACUUUCUCAGUUUGUAAUCAGAGUUAUCAAACAUUAUCUAAAUAGUAUAAAAAAUUUUCUAUCAAAAAUUCAAGCAAUUUGGAUUGCUCUAUACCGUUAAACAAGCAAACGGCUCAUAUACGCCGUCAAAAAUUGUCGAUUUUACGACACUUUGAUCACCAUGUAAGCCAUUAUCAAAAUUUAUGAAAUUUAGUUUCUAUAUAUUUCAAAUACUCUAGAUCAACGUCAACGGCUCCGAUCAUCGAUUCGGAAUCUCGAUCAUCAAAAACAACUUGAUAGGACAAGUGCUCCUAUCAUAUUAAUAG
rnacentral:lncRNA from 1 species